AGUCUUUUAGUAUAUUUUUGUACGCCUGACUUCCAAUCGGGUAGUUUGUGGAUUGUUGAAUAACUU
rnacentral:tRNA from 1 species